rfam:Dipodomys ordii contig_16077, whole genome shotgun sequence.
GGGAAUGUGGCUUAGUGGUAGAGUGCUUGCUUUGCAUGCAUGAAGCCCUGGGUUCAAUUCCUCAGUACCA